rnacentral:rRNA from 1 species
UCGGGAAUAUUGCGCAAUGGAGGAAACUCUGACGCAGUGACGCCGCGUGCAGGAAGAAGGUUUUCGGAUUGUAAACUGCUUUAGAUAGGGAAAGAAAAAAAUGACAGUACCUAUAGAAUAAGCUCCGGCUAACUACGUGCC